rnacentral:lncRNA from 1 species
GAGCAAGUCGUGCGAUCAUUGAGACAGCAAGUACUACUUUGCCUAUGGGCCGAUUCUCAUCACAAUAACCAGCAGGCCAGAGGUUGAUGCUUUAUUUAGUGGUUUAGAAAAUUACAUGCCCUACCCCUGACCAUGGAACUGAUCAGUCCGAACUUCACACACAAUGCCUCUUGCAUCGCCUUUCAAAAGCUCAUAUCAGUUCUUGGUGAGCAUAACUACACUGCAACUGACUUUGGAAGGCAGGAUGUCUUCAUUAGUAUCAAGGAUUACCUCACUUCAGGUAAAUCCUCACAGGAAGUCAUCGGAAAAAACCUUUUUUGAACAAUUUGUUUUGAAAGACGCGUUGACAUAGGAAGUAAAAGAUUAAGCCUUAUAUUGUUGUUUUUUGUAGAAACAAUUCCAAGAUGCUACAAUGAAGCAACCCAGAGCUAAAACUCCACUGCAUGGUUUGCAGAGUACAUUGGCCCAUUCAUAGCCUGUCCUCACAAUAGAGGAUCUUCAUUCAUUUGGAUCUGAAGAGGUCAUCCAAGCUGUUCACUGUGGAUCCACUGAAUAUUGCUCUGCUCAAUCACUCUGUCUUACCUAUAAACCUCACCAACUACUAUACCCAGCUCGUCUAUCAACAGGAUAUAAACUUCAAUCCCCUUCUUCUUCCUCUUUUGUGCCGAUGUGUGGCUCCCGGCCGUGCAUUUGUUCAGCUGACAGCAGAGGAAAGCAGGAUCGUUCAGUUCAACCUAACAAAUAUCUGUACAAAUCUGGACCCACAGGUGUCUGUUGCCUUGGCUGGUAACCUUGGGGAUAACAUUACCUCUACUGACAUUAACGCUCUUGGCUCCAAAGUGACCAGCCUGUCCAUCAACCAGCUUAAGUCUUUGAGUCCAAUGCUGAUCAUGACUCACCUCAGUACUUUUAGUACCAUAUGCGAUUGGAGACACAGUCAGGCCAGAAUCAUCAUCCAGGCUAUGUCUUCUUCAGGAGUGAUGCAGAUGAAUGCAACAUCAUUACUGAGGCUAAACUGUCUCCUCAAGGGCUUUCCCUCCCAACUCCUCCUUGACAUAAAUGGCUCCGAGCUCAUAACUGCCUCCAAAGACUCUUCACUCCUGCAGAACUUGUUGACUGCUCCACAUCUAUUCAGGAAAGAUUUGUUUCUCAGGUAUGAAUGCAUAAGGUAAAAAAAAAAUCCCCAAAAUUUGAAGAGAUUGUAAGGAAGGGUGCAAUAGUCAAUAACAAUUUAAAAUUGUAGUAAGCAUACAAGCUUGUGAUAGCUCAAAAGAGAUAUAU